GGCCUACCAUGGUGGUAACGGGUAACGGGGUGUUAGGGCACGACACCGGAGAGGGAGCCUGAGAAACGGCUACCACAUCCAAGGAUGGCAGCAGGCGCGCAAAUUACCCAAUCCCGACACGGGGAGGUAGUGACAAUAAAUAACAAUACGGGGUUCUUUCGGAUUUCGUAAUUGGAAUGAGUACAAUUUAAAUCUCUUAACGAGGAACAAUUGGAGGGCAAGUCUGGUGCCAGCAGCCGCGGUAAUUCCAGCUCCAAUAGCGUAUAUUAAAGUUGCUGCAGUUAAAAAGCUCGUAGUUGAAUUUCGGGACCAUCAUGUUGGUCGUGCCUCGGUACGUACUGGUAUUGUUGGUUUCUCCCUUCUGACGAACCAUGAUGUCAUUUAUUUGGUGUUGUGGGGAAUCAGGACUGUUACUUUGAAAAAAUUAGAGUGUUUAAAGCAGGCUCACGCUUGAAUACAUUAGCAUGGAAUAAUGAAAUAGGACGUUUGAUUCUAUUUUGUUGGUUUCUAGGAUCGACGUAAUGAUUAAUAGGGAUAGUUGGGGGCAUUAGUAUUCAAUUGUCAGAGGUGAAAUUCUUGGAUUUAUUGAAGACUAACUACUGCGAAAGCAUUUGCCAAGGAUGUUUUCAUUAAUCAAGAACGAAAGUUAGGGGAUCGAAGACGAUCAGAUACCGUCGUAGUCUUAACCAUAAACUAUGCCGACUAGGGAUCGGAUGAUGUUAAUUUUUUAAUGACUCAUUCGGCGCCUUACG
rnacentral:rRNA from 1 species